UUGGUUAAGUUAGAAAGGGCGCACGGUGGAUGCCUUGGCACUAGGAGCCGAAGAAGGACGGGACUAACACCGAUAUGCUUUGGGGAGCUGUACGUAAGCGUUGAUCCAGAGAUUUCCGAAUGGGGGAACCCACUAUCUUUAGUCGGAUAGUAUCCUUACGUGAAUACAUAGCGUGAGGAAGGCAGACCCAGGGAACUGAAACAUCUAAGUACCUGGAGGAAGAGAAAGAAAAAUCGAUUUCCUGAGUAGCGGCGAGCGAAACGGAAAGAGCCCAAACCAAGAAGCUUGCUUCUUGGGGUUGUAGGACACUCUAUACGGAGUUACAAAAGAAAGUUAUAAAUGAAGCGGUCUGGAAAGGCCCGCCAAAGACGGUAACAGCCCGGUAGUUGAAAUGGCUUUCCCUCCAGAGUGGAUCCUGAGUACGGCGGAACACGUGAAAUUCCGUCGGAAUCCGGGAGGACCAUCUCCCAAGGCUAAAUACUCCCUAGUGACCGAUAGUGAACCAGUACCGUGAGGGAAAGGUGAAAAGCACCCCGGAAGGGGAGUGAAACAGUUCCUGAAACCGUGUGCCUACAAGUAGUUAGAGCCCGUUAAUGGGUGAUAGCGUGCCUUUUGUAGAAUGAACCGGCGAGUUACGAUUUGUUGCAAGGUUAAGCGGAAAAAGCGGAGCCGUAGCGAAAGCGAGUCUGAAUAGGGCGCAUAAGUAACAGGUCGUAGACCCGAAACCAGGUGAUCUACCCAUGUCCAGGAUGAAGGUAAGGUAAUACUUACUGGAGGUCCGAACCCACGCACGUUGAAAAGUGCGGGGAUGAGGUGUGGGUAGCGGAGAAAUUCCAAUCGAACUUGGAGAUAGCUGGUUCUCUCCGAAAUAGCUUUAGGGCUAGCCUCGAGGUAAAGAGUCAUGGAGGUAGAGCACUGUUUGGACUAGGGGCCCUUCUCGGGUUACCGAAUUCAGAUAAACUCCGAAUGCCAUGUACUUAUACUCGGGAGUCAGACUGCGAGUGAUAAGAUCCGUAGUCGAAAGGGAAACAGCCCAGACCACCAGUUAAGGUCCCCAAAUAUAUGUUAAGUGGAAAAGGAUGUGGGGUUGCUUAGACAACCAGGAUGUUGGCUUAGAAGCAGCCACCAUUGAAAGAGUGCGUAAUAGCUCACUGGUCGAGUGACCCCGCGCCGAAAAUGUACCGGGGCUAAACAUAUUACCGAAACUGUGGAUGAACCUCUUUAGAGGUUCGUGGUAGGAGAGCGUUCUAAGGGCGGUGAAGUCAGACCGGAAGGACUGGUGGAGCGCUUAGAAGUGAGAAUGCCGGUAUGAGUAGCGAAAGAAGGGUGAGAAUCCCUUCCACCGAAUAUCUAAGGUUUCCUGAGGAAGGCUCGUCCGCUCAGGGUUAGUCGGGACCUAAGCCGAGGCCGAUAGGCGUAGGCGAUGGACAACAGGUAGAGAUUCCUGUACCAGUGCUAAUUGUUUAACCGAUGGGGUGACACAGAAGGAUAGGGAAUCGCACGAAUGGAAAUGUGCGUCCAAGCAGUGAGUGUGAGAAGUAGGCAAAUCCGCUUCUCGCGAAGCAUGAGCUGUGAUGGGGAAGGAAAUUAAGUACGGAAGUUCCUGAUUUCACGCUGUCAAGAAAAGCCUCUA
rnacentral:rRNA from 1 species